AUACGUAGGGUGCAAGCGUUAAUCGGAAUUACUGGGCGUAAAGCGUGCGCAGGCGGUUCGGCAAGAAGGAUGUGAAAUCCCAGGGCUCAACCUUGGAACUGCAUUCUUAACUACCGAACUAGAGUUUGUCAGAGGGGGGUAGAAUUCCGCGUGUAGCAGUGAAAUGCGUAGAUAUGCGGAGGAAUACCGAUGGCGAAGGCAGCCCCCUGGGAUAAUACUGACGCUCAUGCACGAAAGCGUGGGUAGCAAACAGGAUUAGAUACCCUGGUAGUCCACGCCCUAAACGAUGUCAACUAGCUGUUGGGCCCUUCGGGGCUUAGUAGCGUAGCUAACGCGUGAGGUUGACCGCCUGGGGAGUACGGUCGCAAGAUUAAAACUCAAAUGAAUUGACGG
rnacentral:rRNA from 1 species